rnacentral:rRNA from 1 species
UACGAGGGGGGCAAGCGUUGUUCGGAAUUACUGGGCGUAAAGGGCGCGUAGGCGGCUUAUCAAGUCAGGCGUGAAAUUCCCGGGCUCAACCUGGGGGCUGCGCUUGAUACUGAUGAGCUUGAAUGCGGGAGAGGAUAGUGGAAUUCCCAGUGUAGAGGUGAAAUUCGUAGAUAUUGGGAAGAACACCGGUGGCGAAGGCGGCUAUCUGGCCCGUAAUUGACGCUGAGGCGCGAAAGCGUGGGGAGCAAACAGG